rnacentral:rRNA from 1 species
UACGAAGGGUGCAAGCGUUACUCGGAAUUACUGGGCGUAAAGCGUGCGUAGGUGGUUGUUUAAGUCUGCUGUGAAAGCCCUGGGCUCAACCUGGGAAUGGCAAUGGAUACUGGCGAGCUAGAGUGUGUCAGAGGAUGGUGGAAUUCCCGGUGUAGCGGUGAAAUGCGUAGAUAUCUGGAGGAACACCGGUGGCGAAGGCGGCAUCCUGGACCGGUAUUGACGCUGAGGAGCGAAAGCCAGGGGAGCAAAGCGGG